rnacentral:SRP_RNA from 1 species
GCCGGGCGUGGAGGCGCAUGCCUGUAAUCCCAGCUACUCGGGAGGCUGAGGCAGGAGAAUUGCGUGAAUCCGGGAGGUGGAGGUUGCAGUGAGCCAAGAUCAUGCCACUGCCCUCCAGCCUGGGAGACAGAGCAAGACUCUGUCUCAA